rnacentral:rRNA from 1 species
GUUGAACGCUGGCGGCGUGCCUAACACAUGCAAGUCGAGCGGUAGCAGGUGUAGCAAUACAUGCUGACGAGCGGCGGACGGGUGAGUAACGCUUGGGAAUCUGCCUGUUAGUGGGGGACAACCCGGGGAAACUCGGGCUAAUACCGCAUACGCACUACGGUGGAAAGCCGGGGACCGCAAGGCCUGGCGCUAACAGAUGAGCCCAAGUCGGAUUAGCUAGUUGGUAGGGUAACGGCCUACCAAGGCGACGAUCCGUAACUGGUCUGAGAGGACGACCAGUCACACCGGAACUGAGACACGGUCCGGACUCCUACGGGAGGCAGCAGUGGGGAAUAUUGGACAAUGGGGGCAACCCUGAUCCAGCGACGCCGCGUGGGUGAAGAAGGCCUGCGGGUUGUAAAGCCCUUUCGGUUGGGAAGAAAAGUUGCGACCUAACACGUUGCGACCUUGACGUAACCAACUAAAGAAGCACCGGCUAACUCUGUGCCAGCAGCCGCGGUAAGAC